GCUGCUACCACCAUGAUUUGGGGCUGCCCUGUGACUUGCUCAGGCUAAUAGAAUGCAGCGGGAGUGACGAUGUGCCGGUUUCAAGUCUGGGCCAUGAGAGGCCUUGCAGCUUCUGCUCUUGCUGUCUCAGAACCUUUCCCCUGCCACAUGAAAAAGCCCAGCUAGCCCACUGGCAGAUGAGAGACCAUGUGGAGAAGCCCACCAGCUUACCAUAGACUCAGGCCAACAGAGAACCACCCAGCUGAGCCAAGCCCAAAUUGCUAACCCAUGAAAUUGUGAGCCAAAUAAGUCGCUACUAUUUUAAGCCACUUAGUUUCCAGAUGUUUGUUACGCAGCUAGAGCUAACUAAUACCUCCUCUUCCAAUCCUCUUUGGCUGGGGAGGAGUAAGGAACACUUUGGACAGUGCCUGCCACAGAGAGGAUGCCCACUAAGUGCUGGUCUUCUCCUGCUCCUGCGUCAAAGGUGAAAGAAAGAAGUUCUAUUAGGAGCACCUCCUAUGCCCCGACGGUCUGGGGGAUACAGAAGUAAACAGUACAGUCUACAUCUUCAAGAAACAUGAGAUCCAUGAAGAGACACAGAGACCAUGGACAAAUGAAUAAAUGAACCAAUGAAUGAGUGAAA